UACGUAGGGUGCAAGCGUUGUCCGGAUUCAUUGGGCGUAAAGAGCUCGUAGGCGGCCUGUUGCGUCCGCUGUGAAAGCCCGGGGCUUAACCCCGGGUCGGCAGUGGAUACGGGCAGGCUAGAGGUAGGUAGGGGAGAAUGGAAUUCCCGGUGUAGCGGUGAAAUGCGCAGAUAUCGGGAGGAACACCGGUGGCGAAGGCGGUUCUCUGGGCCUUACCUGACGCUGAGGAGCGAAAGCGUGGGGAGCGAACAGG
rnacentral:rRNA from 1 species